UACAGAGGUCUCAAGCGUUGUUCGGAUUCAUUGGGCGUAAAGGGUGCGUAGGCGGCGCGGUAAGUCGGGUGUGAAAUCUCGGAGCUUAACUCCGAAACUGCAUUCGAUACUGCCGUGCUUGAGGACUGGAGAGGAGACUGGAAUUUACGGUGUAGCGGUGAAAUGCGCAGAUAUCAGGAGGAACACCCGUGGCGAAAGCGGCUCUCUGGGACGGUACUGACGCUGAGACGCGAAAGCGUGGGGAGCAAACAGG
rnacentral:rRNA from 1 species